CCCCCUCAAGAUGAGAUUUCCCAGUAUGUAAGACCCCUGGAAGACGACCAGGUUGAUAGGCUCGAGGUGGAAGCGCAGCAAUGCGUGCAGCUGACGGGUACUAAUAGGUCGAGGGCUUAUCCUAAG
rnacentral:rRNA from 1 species